rnacentral:rRNA from 1 species
CGGCGGACGGGUGAGUAAUGCCUAGGAAUCUGCCUGGUAGUGGGGGACAACGUUUCGAAAGGAACGCUAAUACCGCAUACGUCCUACGGGAGAAAGCAGGGGACCUUCGGGCCUUGCGCUAUCAGAUGAGCCUAGGUCGGAUUAGCUAGUUGGUGAGGUAAUGGCUCGCCAAGGCGACGAUCCGUAACUGGUCUGAGAGGAUGAUCAGUCACACUGGAACUGAGACACGGUCCAGACUCCUACGGGAGGCAGCAGAC